rnacentral:tRNA from 1 species
CAAGUUAUAGUUUUUGGUAAACUUUAUUAUUUACAUUAAUAAAUUAUUCGUUCGAGUCGAUUUAGCUUGA